UAAGCUUUCUACUGUCAAGUUCUCAUCUUCACUAUUGCAGUGAAAUGUUUUGUCCAGGAAGCUGUCUAAAAGUCUCUCUCGCUCUGUGUCCCAUGACUGGUCCCAGUCCAGAUAAGUAUCGAAGCAGCAGGUCCAUUCCCAUAUCCACCCUAGACUAGUUUGGAGAUAGUAUCAACGUCAGAGAAACAGUGAGAGACAUCGAUCCGUCACCUAAGUAGAUACUCGCAUCUUUACUUUGAGGAAUUAUUUGAGGGACAGGAGACAUGAUGGGACUGGAGGCCUCUGGAAGCCUCUGAAGGUGACCUGCUGUACGGACAGCGAGGCCAGAGGAACCAGGGCAAUCACUGAGAGACGAAGACUCAGUUUGGGGCCCAAACGUUCUCCUAUUAAACACUUUGGGAG
rnacentral:lncRNA from 1 species